rnacentral:lncRNA from 1 species
CUACAGUAUUGCAGGGAUGCCUUGGACUGGUGGGUAAAUCUGACUAAUUAAUGAGUAUUAGCAAGUUCAUUUGUUCUCAAUUCUCCAGCGAAAUUCUCUUAGUCUUAUCAGUUAUAAUAAUAAAGCUGACAUUUUGAUCUCUAUGUGUCUGUUUUUUGUGUCUUAUUUCUCGAUAGGUUCUUAACUUGAGAAGGGAAGAGAGAGCUAUUAUUUAUUGAUCUCCUCAUACCUCAAAUGAUGCCAAAAAGAAGAGUGAAGGAGACCCAUCCUGGAGAAACUGGAGUGUUCUGGCAGGAGUUGGACCUGGGACCAAGACUGGAGAUGCCUCUUGAUGAUACCCGGACCUUGGAAGAAGGAAAGAGUCCAGGCUGGGAAGCGGGCAGGCAUUGGCAAUGGUGAUUUCAGAAUCCUUCCUCAACAUUCAUAAUUCUAAGGCUAGGUUAAUGUUGGUGUAGCUUCCUACUGCCCAGAGUUGCAAAGUCCAGUCUUGAUCAAUGUCCUAUAGAGUGAUUCUAAUAAAGACCAAAAGGGAGAAUGUUGACAGGUCAUCUCAUAUUUGCUUGUAGAGCUCUCUGAAAAGCCAUGAUAAGCAGCAGAAUGAAAUGACAAAGGAUUAAAAAAAAUCCCACUUAUCCUCCAACUCAAAAGAAU